rnacentral:lncRNA from 1 species
GUUCUGGGCAUGUCUGUCAUUUUCUGGGGUCACUUUUACAGUCCUUGAGAUCUUUCUAAAUUGUUCUGGAGUAGGGAUGUAGCAAAAAUAAGUUUUUGCCACAAGGGUCAACUUUGAUUCAUUGAAAAUAGUUUCUGGCUGGGCGUGAUGGCUCAUGCCUAUAAUCCCAGCUUUUUAGGAGGCCGAGGCGGGCGGAUCACUUGAGGUCAAGAGUUCGAGACCAGCCUGGACAACAUGGUGAAACCUCGUCUGGGAUUACAGGCAUGAGCCACCAUGCCCAGCAUCACCCCCCCUAGGGUUUUUAGAUGAAAAUACAUGAGAACAAGCUGUCCUCAAAGCCCUUCACAGCCUAGGCUGAGCGCACAUGCAAUUCAGACAUUCUCAUGGCCUGUGGACCCACACAGCUUCACCCCUGCCUGCCUCUCCAGAGCACCUCUUUCCUCCCGGAUGCUGCCUGAAUGCUGUGAACUUCUCUUGCUCUCCCCUCCACUUGGGACCAGCCUGCCAGGGGCCUCAGGUGCCUAGAGACAGGUGGGCCAGGGCUGGGCUCUACCACAGGGCACAUAGCUCACUCUCUCUCUGUGUUGCCAGCACCUGGCACCACACUUGGCAUUUAGUGGGUGUUCCACGAGGGCUGUCAAAUGAGGGAAUCUUCUGAAGGGCUGAGGCCCUGGCAUCAGGGAGCAGCAUGCCCUGGAUUCAGAGUUGGGGGGACCUGCUUCACUUGGGAGUGACACAGACCUGGGUUUGAGCCC